AUUCAGUCUCACUCCAACUAUUUCCUCCCUUCCUUUGUACAGGUUAAAACAGGUCCAUUUCAUGAAAUAUAAACCAAGAAAUAAAAAGAAACUGGAAUUACCAGAAAGACUCUGCAGACUAAACAGGAUCUGUAAAGGUCGAACUAUGUAACACCCGACGUGUGAGGAGAUUGUAUCGACACUCACAGAUACACUUCCCG